AUUAUAUUUAUGUCUGGAAUAAAAUAAAACAUAUUAGACAAUCAAUUUAAAUGAAAACUGAAUAAUGUCGCCUUGGCAUCUAAAUAAAAUAAAAUGAGUUUAAGUACUAAAAAUACUAAAACUAAAACCAAAAAAAAAAAAAAAAAAAAAUUAAAGCUAAAUAAAAUAGAUAAAUGAUAAUAAUAAUGAUUAAUGACAAAAUUACCAAAACACAAAAAAAUUUUUUAUUAAAACUAAAAAUAAGAAAAAAAGCUAAAAUAAUAGUUAUGACUAUAACAAUACAUAAACAAUACUAAAAUAACACUGAGGACAAUUUCUAAAUUGAUAAAUUAACUUAAAAUGCAUGUAUACAUUUUAUAAUAAUAUAACAAUUCAUUAUAUAAACUAAAUACGGAUUAUCACACAUACAUAUAUUCUAUAAAAUAAAUGAACCUUAAUAAAAAAUGAUGCAUACAAAUAUAAAUAAAUUAGAAAAGCUGUAUUUAAACUGUAAAUAAAGGAGAUACACACCUCGACAGUCUAUAUUUUGGCAGUAGUCUCCUUCAGGGAUGCAGGUGCUGAAAACACACAGAAAAGAUUGAGUUAACUUUGUAAAAUAUUGAAUAAAUGUUAUCUCUCUGAAGCUCCUAAAAUAAUUCCCAGUGUCUCUCACCAUUGUUGACAUUCCCCUUCUAUCCAGGUGUCUCCGACAGACAGUUCCUUCUCAUCAUGGACACACAGCGGAGGACACACGCCGAGGUCACAUGGUUUGUGCUGGACUUCCUCAAACUGGCAGUUUGCACCGUCAUCCUCAGGAACCAGAGAUCUGGAAAACAGAAUUACAUGUUCAUAAAAUCCUGCAUGGAUGGAGCCUGCAUAAGGAAUGCUGUGUGUGCAUCCCACCUGAAUCGAGUCCUCUGUCCGGGGCCGCAGGUGGAGCUGCAGGAGGCCCAGGUGGACCAGGAGCUCCAGGAGCAGCUGUGUUCUCCUGCGCAGGUGUGAUUGGUGCAGGUGAGACGCCCGUCUGCGCAGCUGCAGUUGUUGCAGGCGUCUGGAGUCAGGACGGUCUCUCCGGGACGGACCCUUCGUCCUGUGUGCAGGUCCAGACAGGGACACGUGUCCCGCUCCACACACUCCGUCCCGUUUGAGUCCAGAACUUUACCAUCUGUGCAGUAACAGCCCGGCUCACAGCGCCACUCACAGUACUGCACACACACACACACACACACACACACACACACACACACACACACACACACACACACACACACACACACACACACACACACACAGACACACACACACAGACACAGAGACACACACACACACACACACACACACACAGACACACACACACACACACACACACACACACACACACACACACACACACACACACACACAGACACACACACACACACACACACACAGACACAGAGACACAGACACACACACACACACACACAUCAUCAUCAUCAACAUCCAUCCAUAAAAUAUAUAAUUUAUAAAUUCAUAUCAUAUGCAUUAUCAAAUGCAGGGUAAAAUAAAGUUAAGAAUAUUUAUAUUUACUGUAUAUUCAUAUUAUAUUUACUGUAUUACUCUUAAAUGCAUAUAAAAAAUAAUAUAAAACAUAUUUUGUUUCCAGCAAUUUUUUAAUAAAAACAUAAUAAAACGUCUUUACAAUUUAUUAACAUUCUG
rnacentral:lncRNA from 1 species